AUAGAAAAUCAUAAGAAGAAAGCAAAAACACUCAUAAUCCCACAACCUAGAAAUGACAGCUAUCAAUACUCUUCUCUUUAUUUUCCAAUAGUUUAUUCUAUGUAUUAGCUGUGUUGAGAAUAGAAAAAAAACAAAGGUGAAAGUAAUGGGCUACAAGGUUGACAAUUCCUAUUUUUGAGUUGUGGCUUGUGGAGGAUUUAUAUGACCCAGUUAAUACUAUGAAUACAAUUUUGCAUUCUGCUUUAACUUGCUAUUAUGACAUGUCUAGGCUGUUUUAUUAAUUUUUCUUUGCAAACUUUCUUCAUAAUGACAGUGUAACAUUCCAGAAUGAGUGUUCUGUCAUUCAUUUAACCAACUACCACUAGGGGGUAUGCUGGGAGGACAUGCGGCAUGUCUAAUUUUGUUCACAUCCUGGUCCCCAGCACCUGUCACAGGACCUGGACCAUUGUAAGCACUCAGUAAUAUUUGCUGAAUGAAGGACUUGUUAGCCAUUUAGAUUAUACCUGGAUUUUUUGCUUUUUCAUAUGUAAAGUUUUACUAAAAAUCUUUGUUCACCGAUCUUUCUCAGGUCUCUGCUUUCCCCCUAUUCUGUGUCAGUUUCUUCUAGGUUCUGCUCUAGCAUCUCUGGUUUGGCAAAAAGCCAAUAUAUAUCAUCACACCAAAAGGAUAAAUCUGCCAGAUGCUUGGGCUACAGGCUAAAUGAAGCCAGACCUGGACCUGUGAAAGGGGCCAAAGAGACUUCACGUAUUCUUCCACCACCCUGGAGUUUACUGAGAAAUUCUGUAGAAACCACAGUGCCACACAGAGCUACCUGCAUGACGAUGGCCAAGGGCAUGUGGGCAGCUUACAUGGUACCAAGGGCAAAACAGGACAAGGC